AGGGAUGAGCCCAGCGCCGAAUCCCCGGCCCCCGGCCGUGGGAAAUGUGGCGUUUGGGAGUGAGCGUGCCGGGUUCGCGCUGUCGACGGCAAGUCCCCCUGACUGGGGCCUAUCCAUAGCGGGUGCGAGGCCCAUAGCCGUCCGGCGCGUCCCGGAAUGCGAUCUCCUCGGAGUCGGGUUGCUUGGGAGUGCAGCCCUAAUCGGGUGGUAAACUCCACCUAAGGCUAAAUACCGCCGUGAGACCGAUAGCAAACAAGUACCGUGAGGGAAAGUUGCAAAGAACUUUGAAGAGAGAGUUCAAGAGUACGUGAAACUGCUCAGAGGUAAACGGGUGGGCCCUCGAAAUCCUGUGGCGAGAGGAUUCAGUCUGGCGUCUCGCGCGCGCUUGACCGGAAGACAAUGAUGGCUUCCCGGGAUCGGGCGCCGUCCGGUCGCGCGGUCGCGUCCCGUCAGACGCAUUUGACUCUCGCCCGAAGGACGCUGCAGCCGGUGGGGCAGUUGCAAACGUGACGGCCUGAAAGUCGGGAGACGGCAGUUGACCGGUGGCGCGCACUCCGCGCGCCUGCCGGUUGUUAGCCUUCCCGUCGGUGGCCCGUCGCCCCACCGUGGUGUCGCCAGGCCCUAACGGGCCCUCUCCGUCUCCUUAAAUCCUAAGCGAGUAGAUCGCCGCUGGUUCGGGCCGCCGAUCCGUCGCACGCCUCGCGCGUGGAGGGUCGAGCGAGUCUGCGCCGCAGGCGGCCGGCAGGGCUCGCCGGAGACCGGAGGCUCGCAGCGAGUAGGUCGGUCACCCACCCGACCCGUCUUGAAACACGGACCAAGGAGUCUAACAUGUGCGCGAGUCAAUGGGUCUUGAACAGGCCCAGAGGCGCAAUGAAAGCAAAGGCCAGGCGUCGUGCCGGCCGAGUCGGGAUCCCCGCCUCUGCGGGGCGCACCGACGACCCGUCCCGUCCGGCUCGCCGGUGGGGCGGAGUGUGAGCGUACAC
rnacentral:rRNA from 1 species